rnacentral:rRNA from 1 species
CGAGGGAAUAUUGGGUCAAUGGGCGAGAGCCUGAACCAGCCAAGUAGCGUGCAGGAUGACGGCCCUAUGGGUUGUAAACUGCUUUUAUGCGGGGAUAACGUGCACCACGUGUGGUGUAUUGCAGGUACCGCAUGAAUAAGGACCGGCUAAUUCCGUGCCAGCAGCCGCGGUAAUACGGAAGGUCCGGGCGUUAUCCGGAUUUAUUGGGUUUAAAGGGAGCGUAGGCCGCUGUUUAAGCGUGUUGUGAAAAACCGGGGCUCAACUCCGGUCGUGCAGCGCGAACUGGACGGCUUGAGUGCGCGGUAAGUGGGCGGAAUUUGUGGUGUAGCGGUGAAAGUG